GCCUAAAGCGUCCGUAGCCGGCUCUGUAAGUUUUCGGUUAAAUCCAUAUGCUCAACAUAUGGGCCGCCGGGAAUACUGCAUAGCUAGGGAGUGGGAGAGGUAGACGGUACUCCGUAGGAAGGGGUAAAAUCCUUUGAUCUAUGGAUGACCACCUGUGGCGAAGGCGGUCUACCAGAACACGUUCGACGGUGAGGGAUGAAAGCUGGGGGAGCAAACCGGAUUAGAUACCCGGGUAGUCCCAGCUGUAAACUAUGCAAACUCAGUGAUGCAUUGGCUUGUGGCCAGUGCGGUGCCGCAGAGAAGUCGUUAAGUUUGCCGCCUGGGAAGUACGUACGCAAGUAUGAAACUUAAAGGAAUUGGCGGGGGAGCACCACAAGGGGUGAAGCCUGCGGUUCAAUUGGAGUCAACGCCAGAAAUCUUACCCGGAGAGACAGCAGGAUGAAGGUCAAGCUGAAGACUUUACCAGACAAGCUGAGAAGUGGUGCAUGGCCGUCGCCAGCUCGUGCCGCGAGGUGUCCUGUUAAGUCAGGUAACGAGCGAGAUCCUUGCCUCUAGUUGCCACCAUUACUCUCAGGAGUAGUGGGGCGAAUUAGCGGGACUGCCGUAGUUAAUACGGAGGAAGGAGAGGGCCACGGCAGGUCAGUAUGCCCCGAA
rnacentral:rRNA from 1 species